UGUCUUUCCUAAAAUCCAGGGUACGUGCUUGGCUACACAUGGCCUUUGCUUCCUUUAGAAUCAAGAACUGAAGUUUGGCAUGGUCACUUUCUCCCAGAGUCGCUGUAGCUGCCACUUUGUCCCCUGGGUACUCACUCCCUGUUGGCUAGUAUCAAUUCAAGGAUAGCCGUUAUUCUUGUUCUAACCCUAACCCUCCACCAUCUGUUGGGGGAAGUUAUCAGCAAUGCAUGCUGGUAAUCUCUUGGCGGGCCCAUGCUUGGCAGAAUUUGUCUCCCAACAUACAUCUGUAUAAUUAAAAUGCCUCGUAACAACAACACACGCCUCCCUGAAACACUGGCUGGUUGCUUUGCAAAAGUUCCAUCCUGGUCUUCUCCUCGACUGGGAGGUCGGCAAAAGGCUCCAGCCACUGGGCUCCUUUGAUUCCCUGCUCCAUUUACAUCAGUCAAGAUGCUCUCGGUGGGGCUACUAAGCUCAUCCUCCUGCGUUUCUGGGCAGCGAUUUGUGCCUUUAGCGUCUAGUGUGGCUCCACCUCCCUUUCUGUUCCUCCUGUUCUUCUUGAGCAGGUUGUAUUUUCCAAUUGUUGAAUUCCAGUCAUGGGAGCCAUCAAGUCUCUGUUAUGUCUAUCAGUCGCAUUCCCCAUCCUGUAUUAAGAGUUCAAGUUCAUGCUGUUUGUUUGCAGUACUGCAGGCAUUACUGUACAGACAUCGAAGGCCACAUGCUCCAUACUCUAGCUUUUUUCCUGGUUUUUUUGGAAGAUACUUAUUGGACAGUCUUCGAGAUGCUCUCUCUGUUGCGGUGCUUAAGCUUUUGUCUGUUAUGCCCAGAAUGUUGUUACAUCUUUUUGUUACAGCUAAAGCAGCCAUGGUAAGAAAUCAAAAGUGAAACUCAAAUCCAAAAUAGAGUAGGAUAAUCAGAAAGAGAAUAAACCAAACACCCUCUCUUCCUGUUUCCACAUACUUUUGCCAUUCAAUGCUUUUCAACCUGCUAUUUUUCUCUCCAUAUAGUGAGUUUUAACUAAUGGCUGUUGCUUAUUGCAGCGGGUGCAGCCCCACGAGGCCACCAUUGUUCCCAAAUUUAGCAGCUCUUCAUCUCUGCUGCCUUCUGGUUGGGCCCUCCUGGUUCCUUCUGGUUCUGGGUCUGUUGGGGUAUAUUCCAGUAUUCAGAAAGAAACUGGACCACAACCUGAGUGGGAUGGUGUCAUGUGGUGUCCUGCAACAGCAGCGGCUGGAACCUGAUGGCCACCAUGACCCCUUCCAACUCUACUAGUCUGUGAUUCCAUGUGCAGGUUUGCAUGCAUAUGCGUGUCACAGGCUGUUUCUCACACUAUUGGGAAGGCAGGCUGUCCUGGUGUUUUCUGCAACGUCUGAAGGCAGUUUUCAUGUCCCGGGGUGCGAGGGAUGACAUGCAUGUCCAAGAUUGUCCAGUGCAGGUACAAAGCCUAUGGAUUUACAGAUUCGUGCAGAUGAGUGUCCUAAAGUGGCGGCCAGUUCACCAGGAACGGGGGUGGUGUGCCAGUCGAUGCACAAGCAAGCGAGCAAUGUUCACCCAGGACCCGGAUCAGCUCGCUAUGUGUUAGCGGGGUUUCGGACGGACGCACAACCAGCCCUCCCAGACCUGAUGAGUGCCCAUACUUUGAACCAGUCCUUGGAAAGGGCUUUCCUGGAAGAGUGUGCUGGACUCGAGAUCCCAAUGUGUGGGAAGCUGGAAAUAGCUGCCGAAAGGAAAUGAUGGGAUUUGGACUUCCCUGGACUCGGCCACCCACGCGGAGCGGUCCGUCGUGGCGGCGCCUGCUUUGAAGGUUUCCAACUUCUCUCUCUGCGCAUCCAACAAAUACAAGCCAAGUAAUCAAACUCCACUCUCUGUCUAAUGCAGCCAUGACUUCUCCCUGUGCAAAGCACUGAAGUAUCAUUUAACCGUGAAUGUUGUGCCUGGGAAGAAAGGAGCUGUAAAGAUGGUUUUUUAAAUAGUGGGGGACAGUUCAGAGAGGUCCAGUCAUCCAGUAAGGGAUAUAACACUUAUGUCACGCAAUGAUGGGCGUGUUUCCUUGGAUCAUCUUGUUGCUCACAACUCAUACCAGUAACAGUUACGCUCCCAAAGUUCUCAACUGUGUGAUGUUUCUAAAUGGCUUUUUCUUCAGCGUGGUUUUUCCCUGCAAUGAGCCUGCGGUGAUUUGGUAUCCAGCAAAUGGAGCUGAGGCAUUGUGGAUUGGUUGGAAGGUUGUUAUUGGUUGCCAAGGCUGUCAUUAAUUAAUUAAUUAAAUUUCUCACCUGCCCGUUAGCCAUUUUCCUGCUGCAUGGGUGCCUCAAGUUCUACAGCCACUUCUGCCAAUUUCUUGCCCCUCUCUGGGAUUCUGAUAAGGUUUCCUCAUUAACACUACCAUGUUGUUUCAUUAAUCACAGCAACUCUUGCCAACGUGCUUUCUUUGCACUUUGCAGCUUUUAGUAUUUGCGCAAGAUCACAAGACAAGCAAUGAAAGUUAAUUUCCAUGGUGCGUCCGACCACCAGUACAGAAGCUGUCUUCGCUUGGUGUUGCUUCAUCCUGUUACUUGUUCAGUUUCUGACACAGUACCUGAGUAAUUGUCUCUAAACAUCAAGGUCUUCUUGUAUUUUUCAUAGAAUCAUAGAAUAGUAGAGUUGGAAGGAGUCAAGAAAGGCUUCGGGUCCAACUCCAGGUCAAAGUAUGGCUGUCCGACGGCCUCUUGAAUGCCCGCACCUCCGCCAGGUUGUUGAUUCCGUGGCUGCACUGCUCUCUCAGCCAGGAAGUCCUUCCUGAUGUCCAGCUGGAACCUGGCUUCCUGUGACUUGAGCCCAUUAUUCCGUGCCCCGUGCUCUGGGAUGACCGAGAAGGGGUCCUUCCUCUUCCAAGCCCUUGUAGGGUGCUACCUUACCUCCCCUUCCCUUCUUGAGGCUGGAAAGGCCAUCUUCUUGCAAUGUUUCAAGUCGCUGGAUAAUUCUUGGGGGUUUUUUUGGCUUCGUUUUAGUUCACUUUGUUUCAUGCAGCAUUCAGGUUGCCUUGUCCCAUGUGUACCUACCCAGAUCCUGAGCUCAUCACAGGGGCCCUUCUUUGGAACCAGGAGGAGGGCCUUUUUGGCUGUGGUGCUCCAGCCCCGGAACGAGCUUCCCAGAGGGGUGGGACCUGUUUUGUAUUCCUUUUGGUGCCAGGCAAAGUCGUCUGCAUGUUCUGAGGAUUUUAGCAGUUUAACUUUUUAACUUCAUAUUUAAUAUUGCAUUUAUUCUGUAUAGUACUAUUUUUCUGUGCUGAUUCAAUGGCAAUUGCUAUAUGUUUUUGUGUUUAAAAGUUUAAUGUUAAAAACAAAGUUUGUUAACUGCC